ACUUCGCAAUGGGGGCAACCCCGACGAGGGAAUUCCAAGUGCUAGCACUUUGUGUUAGCUGUUCUCCUGUCUAAAAAACAGGAGGAGUAAGGGGCGGGUAAGACGGGUGCCAGCCGCCGCGGUAAUACCCGCGCCCCAAGUGGUGGUCGAUAUUAUUGAGCCUAAAACGUCCGUAGCCGGUCUUCUAAAUCCUUGGGUAAAUCGGGCAGCUUAACUGUCCGAAGUCCGGGGAGACUGGGAGACUUGGGACCGGGAGAGGUCAGAGGUACUUCUGGGGUAGGGGUAAAAUCCUGUAAUCCUGGAAGGACCACCGGUGGCGAAGGCGUCUGACUAGAACGGAUCCGACGGUGAGGGACGAAGCCCUGGGGCGCAAACGGG
rnacentral:rRNA from 1 species